UACAGAGGGUGCGAGCGUUAAUCGGAAUGACUGGGCGUAAAGGGUGCGUAGGCGGUUGAGUAAGUUAGGUGUGAAAGUUCUGGCUUAACCUGGAGAGUGCGCCUAAUACUGCUGAGCUAGAGUGCUGUAGAGGGAAGUGGAAUUUCCGGUGUAGCAGUGAAAUGCGUAGAGAUCGGAAGGAACACCAGUGGCGAAAGCGACUUUCUGGACAGUGACUGACGCUGAGGCACGAAAGCAUGGGGAGCAAACAGG
rnacentral:rRNA from 1 species